UACGUAGGGUGCAAGCGUUAAUCGGAAUUACUGGGCGUAAAGCGUCUGUAGGUGGCUUUUUAAGUCCGCCGUCAAAUCCCAGGGCUCAACUCUGGACAGGCGGUGGAAACUACCAAGCUCGAGUACGGUAGGGGCAGAGGGAAUUUCCGGUGGAGCGGUGAAAUGCGUAGAGAUCGGAAAGAACACCAACGGCGAAAGCACUCUGCUGGGCCGACACUGACACUGAGAGACGAAAGCUAGGGGAGCGAAUGGG
rnacentral:rRNA from 1 species